rnacentral:rRNA from 1 species
GAUAUGGCUCAGGAUAAACGCUGGCGGCGCACAUAAGACAUGCAAGUCGAACGAACUUAACCAUUAGUUUACUAGUGGAGCGGUUAGUGGCGGACUGGUGAGUAACACGUAAGCAACCUGCCUAUCAGAGGGGGAACAACAGUUAGAAAUGACUGCUAAUACCGCAUAUGCCUUGAGUAUCACAUGGUACAAAAGGGAAAGGAGCAAUCCGCUGAUAGAUGGGCUUGCGU